rnacentral:pre_miRNA from 1 species
GUGAGGUAGAAAGAGUAAGAAAUAGUUUAAGAGCGGUGAGAAUGGGAACAUGGAGGAAACCCCGAGCUAUCCGUGUGCACCUCUAUAACCAGGGGUGGCUAUUUCUCUUAGUGUUUCCCCAUUCCUCCCAUUCCUAUUGUUCUUAGGUUCUCCUUACCCUUCCUUUUACGU